UCCAGGGAGAAAAAUAAAAGGAAGCCAUAGA
rnacentral:piRNA from 1 species